UCCCUGGUGGCUCAGAGGUUAAAGCAUCUGCCUGCAAUGCGGGAGACCUGGGUUUGAUCCCUGGGCUGGGAA
rnacentral:tRNA from 1 species